UACGUAGGGUGCGAGCGUUGUCCGGAAUUAUUGGGCGUAAAGAGCUUGUAGGCGGUCUGUCGCGUCUGCUGUGAAAAUCCGGGGCUCAACCCCGGACUUGCAGUGGGUACGGGCAGACUAGAGUGUGGUAGGGGAGACUGGAAUUCCUGGUGUAGCGGUGAAAUGCGCAGAUAUCAGGAAGAACACCCGUGGCGAAGGCGGCUCUCUGGGACGGUAC
rnacentral:rRNA from 1 species